UGGGGAAUAUUGCGCAAUGGGCGAAAGCCUGACGCAGCGACGCCGCGUGAGGGAUGAAGGUUUUCGGAUCGUAAACCUCUGCCAGAAGGGAAGAAACCGCACUGUGCUAAUCAGCAGUGCCUUGACGGUACCUUCAAAGGAAGCACCGGCUAACUCCGUGCCAGCAGCCGCGGUAAUACGGAGGGUGCAAGCGUUAAUCGGAAUUAUUGGGCGUAAAGCGCACGUAGGCUGCUUUGUAAGUCAGGGGUGAAAUCCCACGGCUCAACCGUGGAACUGCGUUUGAUACUGCUUAGCUUGUAUCCGGGAGAGGGUGGCGGAAUUCCAGGUGUAGGAGUGAAAUCCGUAGAUAUCUGGAGAAACAUCAGUGGGGAAGGCGGGCACCUGGACCGAUAAUGACGCUGAGGUGCGAAAGCGUGGGGAGCAAACAGG
rnacentral:rRNA from 1 species